GAGAGGCUUACAGAGCUGCUGACCAUUUGGCCUCCCCAGGGAACCAGUCACAAUUGGUCCCUCAUCUCCGACACGAAGUAGGGUGUGUGGAGCUGACAUCUACCAACUCUCACGGUAGCCACGGUGCGCUCUCUUCCCCAGCUCUUUGGCUCCUUUGUGCAGUAUAUUCAGUGAAAAAGGGGGAUAACCCUGACCUUGUUCAGAACUCUGGAGGAGGGUAUGGAUGGGAGAAGGACCCUACAGAUGCUGAAUUGAAGAAGAAGAGAGAGAUCAGCCCAAGUUACCUUAUUUCCCCCAGGUCCUUGGCUGUAGGAUCGAGGUAAAUCAUAUGAAAUCCCAAGAACAACAUGUAGAAAAGUUGAUGCCUGGUCCCCAC